rnacentral:rRNA from 1 species
UGGAUCCAGACUUUGAUUCUGGCUCAGGACGAACGCUGGCGGCGCGCCUAACACAUGCAAGUCGAACGGAGAAAGAUACAGCUUGCUGGAUUUUUCUUAGUGGCGGACGGGUGAGUAACACGUGAGCAACCUGCCCUUCAGAGUGGGAUAACGUUUGGAAACGAACGCUAAUACCGCAUGACAUCCCGGGAUGGCAUCGUUCUGGGAUCAAAGAUUUAUCGCUGAAGGAUGGGCUCGCGUCCGAUUAGGUAGUUGGUGAGAUAACAGCCCACCAAGCCGACGAUCGGUAGCCGGACUGAGAGGUUGAUCGGCCACAUUGGGACUGAGACACGGCCCAGACUCCUACGGGAGGCAGCAGUGGGGGAUAUUGCACAAUGGGGGAAACCCUGAUGCAGCGACGCCGCGUGAGGGAAGACGGUUUUCGGAUUGUAAACCUCUGUCUUUGGGGACGAAUAGAUGACGGUACCCAAGGAGGAAACCACGGCUAACUACGUGCCAGCAGCCGCGGUAAUACGUAGGUGGCAAGCGUUGUCCGGAAUUACUGGGUGUAAAGGGAGCGUAGGCGGGUCUACAAGUUGAUUGUAUAAACGAUCGGCUCAACUGGUCGUGGCGAUCAAAACUGUAGAUCUUGAGUGGAGUAGAGGCAGGCGGAAUUCCUAGUGUAGCGGUGAAAUGCGUAGAUAUUAGGAGGAACACCAGUGGCGAAGGCGGCCUGCUGGGCUCUAACUGACGCUGAGGCUCGAAAGCGUGGGUAGCAAACAGGAUUAGAUACCCUGGUAGUCCACGCCGUAAACGAUGAUUACUAGGUGUGGGUGGACUGACCCCAUCCGUGCCGGAGUUAACACAAUAAGUAAUCCACCUGGGGAGUACGACCGCAAGGUUGCAA